CAGUCGCCACGGUAAUACGAAGGGGGCUAGCGUUGCUCGGAAUGACUGGGCGUAAAGGGCGCGUAGGCGGCGGCCAAAGUCAGGCGUGAAAUUCCCGGGCUCAACCUGGGGGCUGCGUUUGAUACUUGGUUGCUUGAGUGGGGAAGAGGGUCGUGGAAUUCCCAGUGUAGAGGUGAAAUUCGUAGAUAUUGGGAAGAACACCGGUGGCGAAGGCGGCGACCUGGUCCUUUACUGACGCUGAGGCGCGAAAGCGUGGGGAGCAAACAGGAUUAGAUACCCCUGUAGUCCCUGUCUCUUAUAC
rnacentral:rRNA from 1 species